rnacentral:rRNA from 1 species
CCUACGGGAGGCAGCAGUGAGGAAUAUUGGUCAAUGGCCGGAAGUCUGAACCAGCCAAGCCGCGUGAAGGACGACGGUGCCAAGCAUUGUAAACUUCUUUUGUCAGAGGACAAAAUCAGACUCGAGAGCCUGACCGAGAGUACUUGACGAAAAAGCAUCGGCUAACUCCGUGCCAGCAGCCGCGGUAAUACGGAGGAUUCGAGCGUUAUCCGGAUUUAUUGGGUUUAAAGGGUGCGUAGGCGGGCCGUUAAGUUAGCGGUGAAAUCCCGGGGCUCAACCCCGGGCGUGCCUUGGAUACUGUUUGUCUAGAGAGGACGAGCGGUAUGCGGAAUG